AUACGAAGGGUGCAAGCGUUAAUCGGAAUUACUGGGCGUAAAGCGCGCGUAGGUGGUUCAGUAAGUUGGAAGUGAAAUCCCCGGGCUCAACCUGGGAACUGCUUUCAAAACUGCUGAGCUAGAGUACGGUAGAGGGUGGUGGAAUUUCCUGUGUAGCGGUGAAAUGCGUAGAUAUAGGAAGGAACACCAGUGGCGAAGGCGACCACCUGGACUGAUACUGACACUGAGGCACGAAAGCGUGGGUAGC
rnacentral:rRNA from 1 species